GAUGAACGCUGGCGGCGUGCCUAAUACAUGCCAGUCGAGCGAACGGACGAGAAGCUUGCUUCUCUGAUGUUAGCGGCGGACGGGUGAGUAACACGUGGAUAACCUACCUAUAAGACUGGGAUAACUUCGGGAAACCGGAGCCAAUACCGGAUAAUAUUUUGAACCGCAUGGUUCAAAAGUGAAAGACGGUCUUGCUGUCACUUAUAGAUGGAUCCGCGCUGCAUUAGCUAGUUGGUAAGGUAACGGCUUACCAAGGCAACGAUGCAUAGCCGACCUGAGAGGGUGAUCGGCCACACUGGAACUGAGACACGGUCCAGACUCCUACGGGAGGCAGCAGUAGGGAAUCUUCCGCAAUGGGCGAAAGCCUGACGGAGCAACGCCGCGUGAGUGAUGAAGGUCUUCGGAUCGUAAAACUCUGUUAUUAGGGAAGAACAUAUGUGUAAGUAACUGUGCACAUCUUGACGGUACCUAAUCAGAAAGCCACGGCUAACUACGUG
rnacentral:rRNA from 1 species